GGAGAAAUGGCAGAGUGGUCGAAUGCACUGGUCUUGAAAACCAGCGAGGGUAACACCUCCGGGGGUUCGAAUCCCUCUUUCUCCGCCA
rnacentral:tRNA from 1 species